GAUGAACGCUGGCGGCGUGCCUAAUACAUGCAAGUCGAGCGAAGCGGGGACGGGUGAGUAACACGUGGAUAACCUCCUAUAAGACGGGGAUAACUUCGGGAAACCGGAGCUAAACCGGAUACUUAGAGAUGGAUCCGCGAUGCAUUAGCUAGUUGGUAAGGUAACGGCUUACAAAGGCAACUAUGCAUAGCCGACCUGAGAGGGUGAUCGUCCACACUUGAACUGAUAUCCGGACCAGACGCCUACGGGAGUCAGCAGUGGGGAAUAUUGCACAAUGGGCGCAAGCCUGAUGCAGCCAUGCCGCGUGUAUGAAGAAGGCCUUAGGGUUGUAAAGUACUUUCAGCGGGGAGGCGUUACCCGCAGAAGAAGCACCGGCUAACUCCGUGCCAGCAGCCGCGGUAAUAC
rnacentral:rRNA from 1 species